AUGUGUGUCUCACCGGGAGAACAAAGCAAAGCUGGUUCCUCCCACGGUGAGGUGUGUGUGUGUGUAGAGUUUCAUGUGUAUGUGUGUGUUCUUGUGUUCUUGAGAGAAGAAGAUAGAGAGAAACCACAAGAGAGUUUUGUGAGGGAGCUCGAGGUAGAAGAAGAAGCGGCGCUGCGAGGAGGCGGCGCCAACAAGAAGAGCUCGCCGGUGAGGAGCGACUUUUUCUUUUUGACGCCCAUUUCCUUGAAAUCUGCCGUAGGCUUGGUGGCCGUGAUCUCGAUGCCGAUCUCCGCGAGCUCGAUGGCACUGACGGAAAUUGAUAUCUUCUCCGCUUUUUUAUGA
rnacentral:rRNA from 1 species